rnacentral:miRNA from 1 species
UCUUCAUUUCACGUGCUCACUCA